rnacentral:rRNA from 1 species
UACGUAGGGUGCGAGCGUUAAUCGGAAUUACUGGGCGUAAAGCGUGCGCAGGCGGUUCGUUAAGUCAGAUGUGAAAGCCCCGGGCUCAACCUGGGAACUGCAUUUGAAACUGGCGGGCUUGAGUGUGGCAGAGGGGGGUGGAAUUCCGCGUGUAGCAGUGAAAUGCGUAGAUAUGUGGAGGAACACCGAUGGCGAAGGCAGCCCCCUGGGUUAACACUGACGCUCAUGCACGAAAGCGUGGGGAGCAAACAGG